rnacentral:rRNA from 1 species
CUCUUUAAGGAAUAAUUUAAAGUACCGCCUGCUCAAUGUAAAUAUAAAUAGCUGCAGUAUUACUGUACUAAGGUAGCAUAAUCAUUAGCUUCUUAAUUAGAAGAUAGAAUGAAAGACUCAACGCGGCAUCUCCUGUUUCUCUCACAACAAUUUAAAAUAUAACAGAAGUAAAAAUCCUUUUACAAUAUAGAAGGACGACAAGACCCUGACAAACUUAACCAUUUCGCUGGGGCGGCGACUUAAAAAUACCUUAAACCCAACACCAUCACAAAUCUAAUACAAUUAAUCACGGCCUAGUUACUGCAGGGAUAACAGCGCAACUUUUCUUUAAAGCUCUCAUAAAAAGAAAACACUACGACCUCGAUGUUGAAUUAAUAUACUAUUACACGCAAAAGUUUACUAAGUGGGUCUGUUCGACCUUUAAACAAUU